rnacentral:rRNA from 1 species
AGAUUUUGAUGAUAGAUUGCUGGGGGAAUCGUCUGAACAAGGCCUGCGCUUAAUUGCGCGGCCAAUUCUUGAUUCUCUGCUAUCAGUUUUCUAUUUCUCAUCCUAAACACAAUGGAGUUUUUUCUCUAUGAACUACUUCCCUGGAGAGCUCGUCUCUCCAGUGGACAUAAACACAAACAAUAUUUUGUAUUAUGAAAAACUAUUAUACUAUAAAAUUUAAUAUUCAAAACUUUCAACAACGGAUCUCUUGGUUCUCGCAUCGAUGAAGAACGCAGCGAAUUGCGAUAUGUAUUGUGAAUUGCAGAUUUUCGUGAAUCAUCAAAUCUUUGAACGCACAUUGCGCCCUCUGGUAUUCCAGGGGGCAUGCCUGUUUGAGCGUCAUUUCUCUCUCAAACCUUUGGGUUUGGUAGUGAGUGAUACUCGUCUCGGGUUAACUUGAAAGUGGCUAGCCGUUGCCAUCUGCGUGAGCAGGGCUGCGUGUCAAGUCUAUGGACUCGACUCUUGCACAUCUACGUCUUAGGUUUGCGCCAAUUCGUGGUAAGCUUGGGUCAUAGAGACUCAUAGGUGUUAUAAAGACCCGCUGGUGUUUGUCUCCUUGAGGCAUACGGCUUUAACCAAAACUCUCAAAGUUUGACCUCAAAUCAGGUAGGGGUACCCGCUGAACUUAAGCAUAUCAAUAAGCGGAGGAAAAGAAACCAACCGGGAUUGCCUUAGUAACGGCGAGUGAAGCGGCAAAAGCUCAAAUUUGAAAUCUGGCGUCUUCGACGUCCGAGUUGUAAUUUUGAAGAAGGCGACUUUUGUAGCUGGUCCUUGUCUAUGUUCCUUGGAACAGGACGUCAUAGAGGGUGAGAAUCCCGUGUGGCGAGGAUCCCAGUUAUUUGUAAAGUGCUUUCGACGAGUCGAGUUGUUUGGGAUGCAGCUCUAAGUGGGGUGGUAAAUUCCAUCUAAAGCUAAAUAUUGGCGAGAGACCGAUAGCGACAGUAAGUGAUGGAA